rnacentral:rRNA from 1 species
AUUGAACGCUGGCGGCAGGCCUAACACAUGCAAGUCGAGCGGAUGAAGGGAGCUUGCUCCUGGAUUCAGCGGCGGACGGGUGAGUAAUGCCUAGGAAUCUGCCUGGUAGUGGGGGAUAACGUCCGGAAACGGGCGCUAAUACCGCAUACGUCCUGAGGGAGAAAGUGGGGGAUCUUCGGACCUCACGCUAUCAGAUGAGCCUAGGUCGGAUUAGCUAGUUGGUGGGGUAAAGGCCUACCAAGGCGACGAUCCGUAACUGGUCUGAGAGGAUGAUCAGUCAAACUGGAACUGAGACACGGUCCAGACUCCUACGGGAGGCAGCAGUGGGGAAUAUUGGACAAUGGGCGAAAGCCUGAUCCAGCCAUGCCGCGUGUGUGAAGAAGGUCUGCGGAUUGUAAAGCACUUUAAGUUGGGAGGAAGGGCAGUAAGUUAAUACCUUGCUGUUUUGACGUUACCAAAAGAAUAAGCACAGGCUAACUUCGU